GGGGGUGUAGCUCAGUUGGCUAGAGCGAUAGGUUCGCAAUCUAUAGGUCAGGGGUUCGAUUCCCCUUACCUCCA
rnacentral:tRNA from 1 species